rnacentral:rRNA from 1 species
UGAGGAAUAUUGGGUCAAUGGACGAGAGUCUGAACCAGCCAAGUAGCGUGCAGGAUGACGGCCCUAUGGGUUGUAAACUGCUUUUAUAAGGGAAUAAAGUGAGAGUCGUGACUCUUUUUGCAUGUACCUUAUGAAUAAGGACCGGCUAAUUCCGUGCCAGCAGCCGCGGUAAUACGGAAGGUCCGGGCGUUAUCCGGAUUUAUUGGGUUUAAAGGGAGCGUAGGCCGGAGAUUAAGCGUGUUGUGAAAUGUAGAUGCUCAACAUCUGCACUGCGAGCGAC